CGGAUUGCAUCGUGAGGGCGAGCUGAGUUCUCCUCUGCACAGACUUCAGAGAUACAGCGAAGGCGGAGCAGUGUUCUCCUCAGCACAGACCCGGGCGGACGGGUGGGCCGGGGGCACCGCAAGGGCGGAGCUGCGUUCUGCUCAGCACAGACCCGGGGGACACAGCGAAGGCAGAGCAGCGUUCUCCUCAGCACAGACCUUGGGAGCACUGCAUCGCUUUGGGCAGAAUAGAUUACUGAUUUUGGGCACUCCAAGAUUUUGGGAGAGACCUCUCUCAUGAGAACUUUAUGUGGAACCCCCACCUGCUUGGCUCCUGAAGUUCUUGUUUCUGUUGGGACUGCUGGGUAUAACCGUGCUGUGGACUGCUGGAGUUUAGGAGUUAUUCUUUUUAUCUGCACAGGACUCAAGUGUCACUGAAGGACCAGAUCACCAGUGGAAAACACAACUUCAUUCCUAAAGUCUGGGCAGAAGUCUCAGAGAAAGCUCUGGACCUUGUCAAGAAGUUGUUGGUAGUGGAUCCAAAGGCAUGUUUUACAACAGAAGAAGCCUUAAGACACUGUGGCUUCAGGAUGAAGACAUGAAGAGAAAGUUUCAAGAUCUUCUGUGUGAGGAAAAUGAAUCCACAGCUCUACUCCAGGUUCUAGCCCAGCCUUCUACUAGUCGAAAGUGGCCUCAUGAAGGGGAAGCCGAGGGUGCCGAGACCACAAAGCGCCCGGCUGUGUGUGCUGCUGUGUUGUGAACUCCAUGGUUUGAACAUGAAAGAAAUGUACCUUCUUUCACUCUGUCAUCUUUCUUUUCUUUGAGUCUGUUUUUUAUAGUGUGUAUUUUAAUUAUGGAAAUAAUUGCUUUUUCACAGUCACUGAU
rnacentral:lncRNA from 10 species